GCUUAACCGAAGAAGUGCAUCGGAAACUGGGUGACAUGAGUGCAGAAGAGGACAGUGGAACUCCAUGUGUAGCGGUGGAAUGCGUAGAUAUAUGGAAGAACACCAGUGGCGAAGGCGGCUGUCUGGUCUGCAACUGACGCUGAGGCUCGAAAGCAUGGGUAGCGAACAGGAUUAGAUACCCUGGUAGUCCAUGCCGUAAACGAUGAGUGCUAGGUGUUGGAGGGUUUCCGCCCUUCAGUGCCGGAGCUAACGCAUUAAGCACUCCGCCUGGGGAGUACGACCGCAAGGUUGAAACUCAAAGGAAUUGACGGGGGCCCGCACAAGCGGUGGAGCAUGUGGUUUAAUUCGAAGCUACGCGAAGAACCUUACCAGGUCUUGACAUCUUGCGCUAACCUAAGAGAUUAGGCGUUCCCUUCGGGGACGCAAUGACAGGUGGUGCAUGGUCGUCGUCAGCUCGUGUCGUGAGAUGUUGGGUUAAGUCCCGCAACGAGCGCAACCCUUGUUACUAGUUGCCAGCAUUCAGUUGGGCACUCUAGUGAGACUGCCGGUGACAAACCGGAGGAAGGUGGGGAUGACGUCAGAUCAUCAUGCCCCUUAUGACCUGGGCUACACACGUGCUACAAUGGUCGGUACAACG
rnacentral:rRNA from 1 species